rnacentral:tRNA from 1 species
GCGCGAGUGGCGGAAUUGGCAGACGCGCAGGAUUUAGGUUCCUGUACCGUAAGGUGUGGGGGUUCGACUCCCCCCUCGCGCA